GCCCAGACCCACACCAACCUGAAAGGUCUCGAUCUCUUUUCAUAUCUGAACCUAAGCAGGGACGGGCCGGAAUAGGUACUUGGGUGCGCGACCGCCUGUGGGGGGCUGGUGUUUUCUGCU
rnacentral:rRNA from 1 species